GUGGGGAAUUUUGGACAAUGGGCGCAAGCCUGAUCCAGCAAUGCCGCGUGCAGGAAGAAGGCCUUCGGGUUGUAAACUGCUUUUGUACGGAACGAAACGGUCCUGACUAAUAUCCGGGGCUAAUGACGGUACCGUAAGAAUAAGCACCGGCUAACUACGUGCCAGCAGCCGCGGUAAUACGUAGGGUGCGAGCGUUAAUCGGAAUUACUGGGCGUAAAGCGUGCGCAGGCGGUGCUGUAAGACAGGCGUGAAAUCCCCGGGCUCAACCUGGGAAUUGCGCUUGUGACUGCAAGGCUGGAGUGCGGCAGAGGGGGAUGGAAUUCCGCGUGUAGCAGUGAAAUGCGUAGAUAUGCGGAGGAACACCGAUGGCGAAGGCAAUCCCCUGGGCCUGCACUGACGCUCAUGCACGAAAGCGUGGGGAGCAAACAGGAUUAGAAACCCCUGUAGUCC
rnacentral:rRNA from 1 species